UUCUGUUACACCUUUCCUCAAUUUGUGUAUUUCCUUCGAUUAUAUUCUUAAUCUGUUUAUGUGUUCCAGUCUAGGAGGAUUAUUCAUCUUUAACCUUAUAAGAACAUUAAAACAUCGUAUCAUCGCUACCUUUCCCCUGCUCACACAAAUCUCAAACUGAACAUUGCAAGGUCAUACCAGUUCUGGAGAACUUUUCAAAGGACAAACGUCAUCUAGGACACA
rnacentral:lncRNA from 1 species